CGCACCCACACCAAGGCCACCACCCAGGUGGGAGUCCAGCCAUCAGCACCUGUACCCUGUUCCCACACCUCUCACUUCAGUGUGAGACAGUCUACCCACUGCUGGCAUCCAGAUACGAACACACCUACUGGCAGAUGUGACCGUAGGAGAAAUUGGAGCCAUCUGAACCCAGACCGGGAGAAAAAAAAUCAAUGGGACUUCACAUCCCACAAGCGGCUAUGCCCUGCAGUCUCAACAAUACCACACCAGAUCCAGCACGGCAUAAUGUUUCUCCUCGAAGGGUAGAGGUAAAGGUUAAAUGAGCUAACACAUGAGAAGCACUCAGAAGGGCCCUGGCAGGUAAGCACUGACCUUCAGGUCAACUGUGCACAAAUGGCACUGUCACCCAUUUGGAAGAUGAAGACACUGACUUAGGAGAUGAACUCAAGACUCACAUCCAGUUUGUCUGACUCCCUGGGAGACAGAGCAAAACCCUGUCUCAACAGAAGAAAAAAAGCAAAAAAGCUUUUGGCUCUCGAGUUCACCCUGUCCUUUCUGGGACCACUGAUAGGCGUGACCGGGAACCUGAAGGGCCUGCCUGUGAUCUAGUCACUGAGCCUAACCCUCGAAUUAAUUUUUAGGGCAUGUGCUUUUUAAGUGGGUAUUAGUGAGCUGCAGUGGCAGCAGCAACCCUUUACCAUGGCCAGAGACUGUAGAAGGUAGGUCAGACACCCAAAAAGGGAAGGCCUGGUAAAGGCAGUAACAACCCUUGCCCAAGUCUAAAUAAAGUCUUCAGGAGAGAAGCGUUCUUUAAACACUCAGAAAACUUUUCUGCUCUAAGAAAAGCCCGGGAGGAGCUUACUGAAUGAACAAAACCUUAACGGACUUGGCCAGAUCCCAAAGGAGUGAAGAAUCCUAGAGCUGGAUGAAACCUUGCUCAUUCCUCUCCGGAGAGAGUAAAGCACUGUUCCGGUCAAACUGCCUAGUUCGCAGUGGUGUGAGACUCCAGAUCCCCGGCUUCCCAGCUCUCAGAAGCCCUACCAAGACUGCAGCACUGACUCAGGUUCUAAUUGCAAAAGAUCAACGCAGGAGGUACAGUCAGCAUAAGCUCCAGACAGUAUGACCAUUUGAGCAUCUAUAAAAAGACACUGAGCAAGUGGGAAAUGUCUUAAGAUGGCUUCCACUUGCUGUCAACCCCAGGGCUCCCUGCCAUUAAAUAAGCUGACCAGAACCCUAAGAGGUAAAAAAUAAAUGCACUUCCUUCAAAAAUAGGUUAUUCUUACUUCUCUUUACACACCGACUGUAAAAGUUCUGUUUCAAAUUUUUCUCUAGUAGGGAAAGCAGGAAGGCUCACUGAAUGCUGGCAUUGUGUGGGUGUCCCCAAAUGCACCCAUUUGACCACAAGGACCCUGAGAAGUGGGCAUUUUAUACUUGAGGCCUAUUGCACACAGCUGGGAGGAGCCAGGCCUGAACAGUUUUAUCUGGCUCCAAAGUCCACAGUCUUCCUCCACAUCCUGUUGCCACCUCCGACAUUCAAAAAGAUGUCACCACUUGCCUGACAAACAGGGCCGAGUCACCUACUCACACAGAUGCAAAAUGGCAAAAAAAAAAAAAAAAAAAAAAAAAUACAAGAGAAAGAUCCUUCAUGCAGACCAGUCUGGCCAGAGCAGCAAACUAUGCCCCGAGCAAAUAAUCCUAAAUUCCAUUAAGAAAAAAAGUAACAGGACACAACUAAACCUAGCACCAACCAAUGGCCGUAUCUUCAUUUUUGUCAACAACUACUAAGAGUCACCCCACGGGGUGAUGUGCCAGAAAUCGAUUUAAAAACUGCCCAUCUCACCUCAUUACAUCACCAGCAAAAUCGCACACAACGUCUUCAAGACUAUCUGCAUUAACCACUAAAAGCAAACGCCUUCCGCAGCAAAGACUAGGCCAAGACAUGGGGAGAGUCAAACCCAUGACGUUUGGCUCCCCCUGAACAAUCUCAUUUUUACCUUAACUUAUCCCCAUGAACUUGACAUGCCACCCAGACAAACUGGCAGCUUUUCCAUCCUAUUAGGUUUUAAUUAUGAAACUGGCUUCAAACCAUGUAUUCGGACAGGAUCCCCGCCACCAGUGAGGCUUCGCCUACAGUCCCUGAUCUGCUGAAUCGAUACCAAUUGCCAGAAAUCUCAGGAGUCAUCCUUCUCUUCUUAGCUGUGCUGCCAAGGUACAGGUUAAGCGCCCUGCUCAAUUCAGCUACUUUGCUUGCUAUUCGAAUGCUCUGUCCCUCAACCUCUCGCGGAUCGGAGAAACAGUUGCUCUGGCCUAGAAGCACUAUUUUUUUUUUUGUGGUGGUGGUGGUGGGGGGUGCCCAAAAUUAGGUUCUCUAGAAUCUGGUUUGACUUGAUAGUAUCCAUGGAGACUUGGAAAUAGUUUCAUUAGCAAUUUUCACCAUAGAGAUAUUUACUGUAACUGGAUCUGACCUCUUCUGGAGAGGUUUCUAGAGGCCGGAUAGCCGUAAAAACAAAACCAAAGGAAGUGAACGACCCUCAGACAGCCAUUUCUUUCCCAUCAGGGAAGAAGUAAAAGAUCUAAGAGCAAGAAGCAGAGGUGGAAGCACUGCUAAAUAAAUUACUAACCAGGCCCAAAAUGAAAUUGCUCUACAUUCAACUGUAUGGAAACGCAAGAGUCAAAACCGUUCAUCUUUAACUCGCCAGGCAGUGAACAGUCAGGUCCACAGGUACAAAACAGUAUUCCCUUGGGAUCGGCCUUCCCGGCUUCGGAAAACCACAACAGUGGCUUACUAAAAUAGCUAGCUCUACUUAGAGAAAACUCUGGCUUAUAAAGAAAUCAAAACUUUAAACCUUCAGAGCAGAGCAAAACUGUACCUGGGCGAAGAGGACAGGCUGUGAAUUACUCCUUUUGGGGAAUCGCAUUUUUUUUCUUUUGAAGAGCAAAAUUGAGGGGAAUUAAAAAAAUAAAGGGGUUUUAUGACCAGAACAUCCGUAUUUCCAUGGUCACAAUGGACUGUUUCUACUAGGAGACUUUGAAUUGCUUUCAAAUUAAAUCUCUCACGCAGAGAAAAUAAAAAUGAAAAAGGUCACGUGUAUAUAGUAAAAUUCCUUAAAUCAGGGAUUCUGAGUGACACCCUUUUCUCUCUUUUUUGCAACAUCCAUUAAUUUGAUUUUUAACUAAUACUGGUACAUCAGUUUGGGGGGGUGAAAAAGGCAGUACUGUGACAUUUCAAAAACAAAGAUUCCAAAAUACAGUUUUUGACUUAAUUACUGGGACCUCUGGGUCUUAAUGGAAGAGAGUCCUUUGAGAACAGAAAACAAUAAACCCUUGUGUUGAUAUGCCAGUGAGCUUUUUAAAUGUUUGGGGAAAUAGUUUCAAAUUCAUUGAAUGAUGGCUAAAAAUUUCACUUACAAAAGAAACCUCAUUUCCUUAACGUUUUUUAAAACGUCAGUUUAAAUAAACAACUUAGUAGCCUUUGGAACUGGGUCCUCAGUCAUCUAGUCUCUGUUCUCAGCUCCUGGAGAAGGAAUUUUACAAAGGAUGGGAAACUUCAAAUAAGUGCAGUUCUUUUUGGGCUGACCCAGUGCCCCGGAUCUAGUGUUUGUUCGGUUGGUGCUUCAGACAUUUUUUUGCGGGAUACCAUAGAGUUUGGAGAUUUCUUCCUCCCAUAACUGAUUUUACAUCCUCACUAGGAUAACCACACCACAGCAGUUGUGAACAGACUAAGAGGAAGAAACCAAGUGGCCUACUGAAUUGCAGUUUCCUCUCUACACGUGUGGGACCUUUUUUCCUUGUAAGAAGGGAAAAAAGGAAACGGGUCUGUUGGAGAGGACCAGGGUUCUCUCUCAAAGUAUGCCAGGGAUCAAAAGUGGGAAAGAGGGAAAAUGCAACUUCAACGUGUUUUGUCUUUUAACGGAACUGAUGCUUGUAAAACACAUCGGAAGUACGGUGUUUGGUUCUGCAAGUCAUUUCUGUUGGUUUUUUUUCCUUGUUAACGUGUAGGACGGGGGACUGGGGGCUGGAGGAGGUGUUCCCUCCAACAUGACUGGGCGUGUAACACGUUUGCAUCAACUUUUCACAGACAUGUGCUUUCGAACAAAGGAGCAGUGGAGACAGGCAGAGAUGGGGGCUUGACAGAGUUCACAGAUUUUGUGCUUCAACAGUACUUUACAAAUGACUUGCUCAAUUUUAAGGUCCAUCACCACAAGAGACAUUGGAGUAAAACGAGAAAAUUGGAGCUACUUGAACCAAUCUUUUUGGGGGGGGAGGGAGAACCAUUAACUUGAAUACAUGUAUCAUAAAUCAAAUUCAGUAAGCUUGUCUCCUAUAAAUGGACUUGAAGUAUCCACUUUCUUCAAAGAUGAAGGCUGGAGACAAAGCAAUGGAUUGAAAUGGAAAGAGGGACGCCAGAGCCUGAAAACACAGGCCUUUUACAUCGGUUUUUGUCAUGUUACAGUAGCACACUUUUUUUUUUUUUUGAGAAAACUGUGUACAUCAAAUUUAAAAAAUUAAACACUGAAAGGAUGUGCAAGUAUAAAAGGGCUCAACAGGGUUAGAAUCCUGAUUCCAACACAUCAAUUCACUCUCAAGCAUCACUUUGGUCUAAAGGCGAGGAAGAAGGCAGGCAGGAAAGGGAGAAAAAGAGGGAGAUCAUUGAAUUACUCAAUAAAAGAGGCUACUUACCAUCCCAACCCAUUGUAAGACAUACACUUCUGACAUAAGAGAACUCCUUAGAGGUCGAAUAAAGCGUGUAAGCACCUUUGAGUAAUGCACCUGCCCCCGGAGAGGGGGCCGGAAGCCCGACGUGGGCUUAGCGAACAGACCUUUGCUAAUCUGUUUAUUUCCUUGAACUGGAGUCGGGCUGCGAUGGGCUGCGAUUCCCAGGACGAUACAUUUAAUUAGAACAAAACAGAAAAAAAAAAUGUUGUAAAAGCUCA